rnacentral:rRNA from 1 species
GCUCCAAUAGCGUAUAUUUAAGUUGUUGCAGUUAAAAAGCUCGUAGUUGGAUUUCGGGCGGUGCGCGGCGGUCCGCCGUUUCGGUGUGCACUGUCGUCGCUCGCCUUGCUGCCGGGGACGGGCUCCUGGGCUUAACUGUCCGGGACUCGGAGUCGGCGUGGUUACCUUGAGUAAAUUAGAGUGUUCAAAGCAGGCAUACG